GUGCCAGCCGCGCGGUAAUACCGGCAGCCCGAGUGAUGGCCGAUCUUAUUGGGCCUAAAGCGUCCGUAGCUGGCCGCGCAAGUCCAUCGGGAAAUCCACCUGCUCAACAGGUGGGCGCCCGGUGGAAACUGUGCGGCUUGGAACCGGAAGGCUCAGAGAGUACGUCCGGGGUAGGAGUGAAAUCCCGUAAUCCCGGACGGACUACCGAUGGCGAAAGCACUCUGAGAAGACGGCUUCGACAGUGAGGGACGAAAGCUCGGGUCUCAAACCGGAUUAGAUACCCCAGUAGUCC
rnacentral:rRNA from 1 species